UACGGAGGAUGCAAGCUUUAUCCGGAUUUAUUGGGUUUAAAGGGUGCGUAGGCGGGACUGUAAGUCAGGGGUGAAAUACUGCAGCUUAACUGUAGCAUUGCCUUUGAAACUGCCGUUCUUGAGUACAGUUGAGGUAGGCGGAAUGUGGUGUGUAGCGGUGAAAUGCAUAGAUAUACCACAGAACGCCGAUUGCGAAGGCAGCUUACUAAGCUGUUACUGACGCUGAGGCACGAAAGCGUGGGGAUCAAACAGGAUUAGAUACCCUGGUAGUCCACGCUGUAAACGAUGAUUACUGGUUGUUAGCGAUAUAUAGCUAGUGACUGAGCGAAAGCAUUAAGUAAUCCACCUGGGGAGUACGUCGGCAACGAUG
rnacentral:rRNA from 1 species